rnacentral:tRNA from 1 species
GACCGCGUAGCUCAGUUGGAAGAGCAUUGGGCUAGUAUCCAAAGGUCGUAGGUUCGAAUCCCAUCGUGGCCG